rnacentral:rRNA from 1 species
UGAAAGAUUUUAGCAAGCGUCUUACCAGAACGGGUUCGACGGUGAGGGACGAAAGCUGGGGGCACGAACCGGAUUAGAUACCCGGGUAGUCCCAGCCGUAAACGAUGCUCGCUAGGUGUCAGGCAUGGCGCGACCGUGUCUGGUGCCGCAGGGAAGCCGUGAAGCGAGCCACCUGGGAAGUACGGCCGCAAGGCUGAAACUUAAAGGAAUUGGCGGGGGAGCACAACAACGGGUGGAGCCUGCGGUUUAAUUGGACUCAACGCCGGACAACUCACCGGGGACGACAGCAAAAUGUAGGCCAGGCUGAAGACCUUGCCUGAAUCGCUGAGAGGAGGUGCAUGGCCGUCGCCAGUUCGUACUGUGAAGCAUCCUGUUAAGUCAGGCAACGAGCGAGACCCAAAA